GACGGACGCUGGCGGCGUGCUUAACACAUGCAAGUCGAACGGAAAGGCCCUGCUGUUGUGGGGUGCUCGAGUGGCGAACGGGUGAGUAACACGUGAGUAACCUGCCCUUGACUUUGGGAUAACUUCAGGAAACUGGGGCUAAUACCGGAUAGGAGCUCCUGCUGCAUGGUGGGGGUUGGAAAGGUUCGGCGGUUGGGGAUGGACUCGCGGCUUAUCAGCUUGUUGGUGGGGUAGUGGCUUACCAAGGCUUUGACGGGUAGCCGGCCUGAGAGGGUGACCGGCCACAUUGGGACUGAGGUACGGGCCAGACUCCUACGGGAGGCAGCAGUGGGGGAUAUUGCACAAUGGGCGGAAGCCUGAAGUAGCGCCGCCGCGUGGGGGAUGACGGCCUUCGGGUUGUAAACCGCUUUCGCCUGUGACGAAGAGUGAGUGACGGCAAUGGGUAAAGAAGCACCGGCUAACUACGUG
rnacentral:rRNA from 1 species